AUGUUGCAGUGAAUUAUGUUGCAUAUUAGACACCACAGUUGUUUCCUAUUUUUCUUCGAUUUCUAUUUUUUAAUCAUAUAAAUAAUUCUGAAAGUUAUUCUUAUUUGUGUAUACUGAUGUUCUGUUUUAUCCUUAGAUCAAUUGAGAUUUUGAAAUUUUAAAAAUAUGAAUAUAUUUAAGUUUUUGAGAUUUAUCAUCAAAUUAUCUGUUAAAGGUACUGUAAAAGCUGACAUUCUGGGUAGGAGUGAUUUAUUCACAAUAUUUUCUGUAAAUUAGUAAAAUGAAAACCCAAUAUUUUAAAUAUCUUAAAAUCCUUGUAGAAUAUUUAUAUACCCCAGUUUGACAUGCUGAUAAUCCCAAGUAUAUCCAGCAACAGCAUAGUUAAAUUGACCAAAAUAGUUACUGAAUGGUGAAUUAACACCUGGGAGGUGACU
rnacentral:lncRNA from 1 species